GGUUUGGUAGCUCAGUUGGUAGAGCAAAGGACUGAAAAUCCUUGUGUCGGGGGUUCAAUUCCCUCCCAAACCA
rnacentral:tRNA from 2 species